rnacentral:lncRNA from 1 species
UUAGUUUUCUUCGAUUUACGUCGUUAAUAGUGAUAUUCACCAAAUGUAUAUACAUUGUUAAAUGAUGGGAGUAAAAGCGACUUUAAUAAUAUAAAAACUGCUUCUUUAUAUCAGGAAGUGUUUGGACGUACCCACAUUUUGGCAAGUUAAUUGAUUUUACGAAAUGUGAAGGCAACGUGACAACUGGCUGUUUGGACAAAAUCUGCAAUAAGAAUUUGAUUACGUUCGCGUUUGCUUCGGUGACCAUUGAUUGGAUGUUUAUGGGUUUGUGGAUCGGUGUCUUUGCUUGUCAACUUCGGCCUCUUUGCAGCAGGGGUUAAAGAAAUGUCGAUGUCGGUGAAAAUGGCGAAAUGUUUUGAAUACUGAGAAAGAAAGAAUGAAAUAUUGACAUGCGUGAUGUGUUUUUUGUAUCUUUUGAAAAAGUUUUUUUCUAAUAAAUACACAUAUGUAAAGUUUCUGUACUUGUGUAACUAUAUACUGUACAUAAACGCAUGAACUUGUUGAUAUAACUGAACAUGUAUUUGAAUGAUUUAUUUGACUAUGUGAAACGCAUUUCCAGUUGCUUCUUCUUUGACAAUAAAAAUAUUAAACCUUU